UCUUAAGUGCUAUUUGUUAAUACUUGAAUAAUAUGUGAUGUUUUAUUCUAGUUGAUUGAGUAUAAGAUUUAUUGUCUUAUUUGCGUUUCUUGUGAUUAAAUUAAAUGUGAAAAUGAUAAUUGUUUCGUUGUUAAUUGAAAUUGUGUAGAAUAUUAGAAUUUACUUUAUGCUACAUGAAUUCAUACAUGAUUUGAAUAUGUUAAUGGGAUGAAUAGUUUAAUUUAACUAUUUAUAGUAGAGUUUACGUGAAUUCUUAUGUAUGUCUACAUGUAUACUUUUAUGUGUAGUUCUUUAUGACAUGAGAUAAUUUUAGAACUAGUAUUAAUUUCCGAUGAUGUGAAUUUUAUCGAAAAUCUAACUGUUUUCUUUUGAGUAAGUGAAACAUAAUUUUAUCAAGUAAGAAGAGUAGAAUAUUAAUAGUAUAGUUAAGUGGAUUCUAUGAUAUGUUUGACAUAUGUUUUGUUCUAUAUGAUAUGUUCUAGAUUAUUGCUAGUUGACUUGUGCUUUUGGUUAUUUGUAAGUUAUAGUGAAUAACUAUGCUAUUUUCUAUAAGAUGAAUUUGAUAAAUGUGUUGUACAAGUUGACUAUUUUAUUUUGUCAUGUUAGUUAUCAUGUUACGAUAGAUAUAUUCUAUGCAUAUGUGAAUAUGAAUUGUUGAAUUUUUAAAAUUCAUUGCUAUGAAAUAUUUAUCUUUUCUUGUACUGAUUUGAUUCUCAAUUUUGAGAUUUAGAGAAGAUAUAUGUUUCUUGAAUGUCUAUGUGAAAUGCUAUGUUUUGCUUUUGUGCAAUUUUAUAUAAAUGUUCAUGUUUUGUAUUUUGUAGUUUACCCAUUGUAUGCGACAUGUGUGUAAACAUUGUCGAUACUAGUUUCUUUCGUGGGAGCUAGUUAGAGAACCGUAGAAGUCUCCAGUUAGGUAUGAGAGUUGAGAAUUACGAUAGGAGUUAUAAGUGGGUUUGAGAUAAGUGGGGGAGAAGGUUAAAUUCCUUUGAGAUGUUUAAGUGCAGAAGAAUAAGAUAGAUAGUGAUGUACGAAAGGAGAGCGUUCAUGUGUUGGUGUUGUCCAUUUCGGAGUUAGAUGAUUUGGAAGAACAGUUAGAAGACCGCUGGAGAAGAAGUUUGUCGGAUCGAUUGUUUUGCCAUGAAGAGCGUCAAUGUUGUUAAGUAAGAAGAGAGGAUGAUGUAUGAGAAAAUCAGUGAAGAUUAGAAAGAUUGAAUUCUUUAUGCUUGGUAUGAUGAAAAAAAAAGGCUUAGCAUACGUGUAGUACAUAUAUUAAAGGAAUAAAAGAUUCAGAUAUUGUAAUCAAGGACGAGUAGACAAUAAUAAUGUGAUGGAAUAUUCAGGCUAUAUUUUGGAUGUGAGUAUCUCAACGGAAGAAGUGAUAUUGGAAACGUUGUAUAUUAAGAAAAACAAAAAGGUUGGUUAAGUGAUGGAUUAGGAAUGAAGCAAUUAUGUUGGAACUCAACGUAAGAAAUUGAGAUUUGUGUAAUAGUUGUGUCAUUAAUGACGUGAUUUCGAUGUGUAUCGGUAAGAGUUUGAGGACCUUAUCGGCAACCGAGUAUGGCGAUGAUAAAUUUAAAACUAUGGUUUGGAUAAGAUUUGGACGUGAACGUAUAAGGAUUAAGAGGAAUGUAAAGACUUAUGGAAAAUCGUGAAGUUGUGAAAUCCCUAUGGAGAUGAGAUUUAUUUGGAACAUAAUGGAUUAAAGAGUACUUAUGGUGGAAUAUUUCUUUUCGGAUGUUUCGUUAUUAGGAAAGCACUAUUGUAGAUUGACAAAGAUGGUUUAUGCCACCAUCAUGGUUGUUGUCUAUCUAUUAACAAAUUGAGGGAAUGGCCACCCUUGAUCUCUUGUUAAUGAGUAGACAAAAUCGUGUGACCGGAAUGGACUAGUUUUGUCAAACUUUGGUAGUGUAUAGAGUUUGAGUGUUUUGUUGGAGAAUCGGAUAAAAAGAUUUCGUCUAGGAUUGUCUUAGUCGGACAAUUUUCGAGGGCGAAAAUUCUUUUAAGUGGGGGAGAGUUGUAACGCCCCAUAUUUUAUUAAAUUAUUUAUUUGUGUGAUUAAUUGAUUAUGUGUUUAAAUUGUAUUAUUAUUUAGUUAGUUACUAAGUAUGAUUAUGCAUGUUAGUUAGUCAUAAGUUAUUUGGUUGCUAGAAUAGUGGGCUUAUGGUUAUUAGACUUGGAGAGAGUUAAAUGAAGGGUAUUGUGGUAAUUGGAUGAUACUUUAAGGGUUUUAAUUUGUCUUAAAUAAGAGAAAAGAGAGGAAGAAAGAGAAGAGAGAAAAGAAAGAAAAAGAGAAAGAAUGAGAGUAGAGAAACAAAUCCCGUUUUCCAUGCAUCAGCUCCACUAAAUCUUCGNNNNNNNNNNNNNNNNNNNNNNNNNNNNNNNNNNNNNNNNNNNNNNNNNNNNNNNNNNNNNNNNNNNNNNNNNNNNNNNNNNNNNNNNNNNNNNNNNNNNUUUUGGGUUUUGGGUUUUAAUUGAGGGAAAUUGGGAAUGUGUUAUUAUAGAUUUUUAUGUUGAAUCACAUGUUGAUAAAUGUUUAUCCAUGAUUUGAUGAUGUUAUAAUAUGAUAAAAAUCUAUGUUUUUAGUUGUUGUUGUUGUUGUUGAUGAUUGUUGUUAUUUGGGUAUUUCCAUGUUUUGAUAAAAGUAGUGAUGAAUAUUGUUGAUUCUCAUGAUCAAUGUAAAUUGUUGUCUUCCAAGUGUUUGUUAAAAAUGUGUAAAUGAAUGAAAUGUACUAAAGGUAGAAUUUAAGUUAACCUACCUUUUGAUAGUUUGGAAAAUCGCGUGUAUGUACCGAUACCUAGGAGUGUAUGUAUUGAUACAUACAUGUGUGAAUUAUGUAGAAACUUGGAAAUAACGAACUUGUACCGAUACAAGUUGUGUUUUGUAUCGAUACAAGACCUUGUUUUAACUUGAAAAUGCUUUACAAACCUAUGUUGGUGUGGAUUAAUUCUAAUUUUCCUUGGAUUAGUAGAUCUUGAUGAUUAAUCUAUGUUGAUUAAAUUAUGAUGUU
rnacentral:lncRNA from 1 species